rnacentral:rRNA from 1 species
GAUGAACGCUGGCGGCGUGCCUAAUACAUGCAAGUCGAGCGAACAGACGAGGAGCUUGCUCCUCUGACGUUAGCGGCGGACGGGUGAGUAACACGUGGAUAACCUACCUAUAAGACUGGGAUAACUUCGGGAAACCGGAGCUAAUACCGGAUAAUAUAUUGAACCGCAUGGUUCAAUAGUGAAAGACGGUUUUGCUGUCACUUAUAGAUGGAUCCGCGCCGCAUUAGCUAGUUGGUAAGGUAACGGCUUACCAAGGCAACGAUGCGUAGCCGACCUGAGAGGGGGAUCGGCCACACUGGAAAUGAGACCACGUCCAAACCCCUAAGGGAGGCAGCAGUUGGGAAUCUUCCGCAAUGGGCGAAAGCUUGACGGAGCAACGCCGCGUGAGUGAUGAAGGUCUUCGGAUCGUAAAACUCUGUUAUUAGGGAAGAACAAAUGUGUAAGUAACUAUGCACGUCUUGACGGUACCUAAUCAGAAAGCCACGGCUAACUACGUG